CACUGCAAAGAUAGAUGAACAAAAAACAAGCAGGCAUGACAUUUUACAGAGAAACAAGGUGCGAGUUAGACCUUUACACACCGUUAGAAGAAUGCAUCUUUCAGUUCACAGCUGCCACUGUGUUUAUUUUCUGCAUAAAAGGACAGCAGAGACCAGGCUCCUGGGGUGCAUGCCUAUGGCUGAGCAAAGACCCCUUCUUCUCCCAUUCAGCGAGCAGAAAGAAGCCGACUGCCACUGGACAGGCAACACCCCCCUCCCAGAAAAAAAAAAGAAAGCAGGGAUGACGAGCCCAGAGAGACCCCCAUGUUUCUCUGUGAGAUGAUGGCCAACGGCUGUCGAGUUGAGCAGUAACCAUGCUGGAAAAACUCAGUCCAAGGUAAGGCCUGAAUCACUGCGAGUGCAACCACAAACCCACAGAUGACACGAGGACCUCCAGUGAGGCAUGAGUAGCCUUGGAAAACCUCCCUCCC